rnacentral:rRNA from 1 species
AACGAACGCUGGCGGCAUGCCUAAUACAUGCAAGUCGAACGAGAUCUUCGGAUCUAGUGGCGCACGGGUGCGUAACGCGUGGGAAUCUGCCCUUGGGUUCGCAAUAACGUCGGGAAACUGACGCUAAUACCGGAUGAUGACGUAAGUCCAAAGAUUUGUCGCCCAAGGAUGAGCCCGCGUAGGAUUAGCUAGUUGGUGAGGUAAAGGCUCACAAAGGCGACGAUCCUUAGCUGGUCUGAGAGGAUGAUCAGCCACACUGGGACUGAGACACGGCCCCGACUCCUACGGGAGGCAGCGGUAGGGAAUAUUGGACAAUGGGCGCAAGCUUGAUCCAGCAAUGCCGCGUGAGUGGUAAAGGCCUUAGGGUUGUAAAGCUCUUUUACCCGGGAUGAUAAUGACAGUACCGGGAGAAUAAGCCCCGGCUAACUCCGUGCCAGCCGCCGCGGUAA